CCUACGGGUGGCAGCAGUGAGGAAUAUUGGUCAAUGGGCGAGAGCCUGAACCAGCCAAGUCGCGUGAGGGAGUACUGCCCUAUGGGUUGUAAACCUCUUUUGUCGGGGAGCAAAAGCCGGACGUGUCCGGCUGUGAGAGUACCCGAAGAAAAAGCAUCGGCUAACUCCGUGCCAGCAGCCGCGGUAAUACGGGGGAUUCGGGCGUUAUCCGGAUUUAUUGGGUUUAAAGGGUGCGCAGGCGGAUUUUUAAGUCAGCGGUAAAAUCGUGGGGCUCAACCCCAUCCAGCCGUUGAAACUGGGGAUCUAGAGUGUGCGAGAGGUAUGCGGAAUGCGUGGUGUAGCGGUGAAAUGCAUAGAUAUCACGCAGAACCCCGAUUGCGAAGGCAGCAUACCGGUGCACAACUGACGCUCAGGCACGAAAGCGUGGGUAUCGAACAGGAUUAGAUACCCGUGUAGUC
rnacentral:rRNA from 1 species